UUUUCAUUUUUAGAUUUGAGUUCAUGCUUGUAUCUUCAUUCUAUACAAGUUCCUUUACACAAAUUCCAUUAUGUCUUUGCUAGUUCAUCUUACUGUUUUUCUUUCCUGAAUAGGAUACUCUGUUUUCUUACAAACGUGCUACUGUUUUCAAUUUACUGCAAUUAAUUGGCUCACUGGAAAUUUGUGAAAAUUUGGAUUUACAUACUUCAAAGUGUUACAAAAGCAUAGAAAAAAGAAUCACUCAAAAAUUCCAAGUACACAAAAAAUGAUAAAUAAAAUACGAAAAGUGUACAAUACUGCCGAAA
rnacentral:lncRNA from 1 species